rnacentral:rRNA from 1 species
ACCCGCUGAAUUUAAGCAUAUAAGUAAGCGGAGGAUAAGAAACUAAAUAGGAUUCCCUCAGUAAUGGCGAAUGAACAGGGAUAUGCUCAAGAUGGAAACCGGGGCUUUAUAGCUUUGGAUUGUAAUCUCAGGAUAUGUUGCUAACAGAACUGCAGGUGUAAUGCUCUUGGAAAAGAGAACCAUCGAGGGUGAGAGUCCCGUUUGGCAUUUGCUUGUUUCUGUAUACGGCAUGUAUUCUACGAGUCACGUUCCUCGGGAUUGGAGCGCAAAAUGGGUGGUAAAUUUCAUCUCAAGCUAAAUACGAGUUCGAGCCCGAUAGCAAACAAGUACCAUGAGGGAAAGAUGAAAAGGACUUUGAAAAGAGAGUUAAAAGUGCCUGAACUUGCUGCAAAGAAAGCGGAUUGAACCAGUCAGUCUUGGUGAGAUUGUUGUGUACUAUUGUAAGUUGCUGCAGCAGAAGCGUAAGCGCUGUUGUGGUUCACGAACUUGUGUGCGUAAUGUUUCUUGCCAAGCGAGUCACCAGUUGCGUGAGGGUGAUGACAACUUAAGGUAACUGGUAGCAGGUUUUCGGACUUGUGAAUGUAUCUUAUGGAAGUCAUUUUCAUGCUUCGUGUGUUGUGUUGUUGUCUUUGACAUUCACAGCCUGUGUAGACAAAUGGUUGUGCACUGGCCUAGGUGUCGUUUGCUGAGCACCUUCCUGACAUAGCCAUGGUGACUAAAUGGUUCUAUUCGACCCGUCUUGAAACACGGACCAAGGAGUCUAACAUGUGUGCGAGUUCUUGGGCGGCGAAACCUACGUGCGCAAUGAAAGUGAUUACUGAGAUGCUAGCAUCAGCAGCCGACCGAUCAAUUGGGAGAGGUUUGAGCAUGAGCAUAUCUGUUAGGACCCGAAAGAUGGUGAACUAUGCUUGUGAAGGGUGAAGU